AUUGUUCCUAAGUUCCUAGGGGUGCAGAGGUUGAGCAAAAAUGAGGGUUCAGCAUACAGUAACCAGAUCAGAGAUAGGAAAAGAAUAAUGAAAAUACAUGGUACCUGUGGGAUGGAAGAUAGCAUAGUCAUUGCCAAUUUGGAAGACCUUGACAAUGAAGCUUGAUGAUGGCGAUGGACGGUGAAGUAAUCGCCUCGCUCGUGAAAGGGGAUUGAUUUUGAUUGCAAAUGGUAUUGUUGGCGAGGUGAAGAAGACGAAGUGGAUGAAGCAGUUAUAUAAUGAAUCUGCAGGGUCAAUCCUGAAAAAAUAGGGAGGAUGUUAUCAAAAAAUCCGGGGAAAGGAAUCAUGAUUGUGGCAACGACUCUUUCAAUUUUUGAAGGAUAUCGGCUCGAGACCUGUGAAGAUGCUGACAAGAGAAGAGAACUUUGGAAUAUAAUAUUAUAUUCAACAAUUGGAGGGCAUGUGUUGACACCGGUUUUUGACCAGAGUCAACUGAAGAAGAUAAGGUUAUGAUAGCCAGUGAAGGAAGAGAGAAAAGAGCUGUUAAGACCCUGCGUUGGCCAAGGCCCACCAUAAGCGAUCGGGUUCCAAAAGCCAAUAGAAGACCGAGAGGAUCCAAUCCGAAGCGAAAUCAACUCCACCAAAUAAGGGAAAAUGUGGAGAUGUAUCAUUAGUAGUUUUUAGAUUUAUUCUAACAGUUCAUGUCCUAACCAACAAGGAUUUUAGCUUGCUCCAGGGUAUAAAUAUAAACCAGCCUUGUUACAAAUAAUC
rnacentral:lncRNA from 1 species